UGACAGAGAUGGCCCUUUUGUCCACCUUCUUUCUUUGUUUUUUGUUUUCUUUCUCUCCCUUUUCUGGGAUGUUGUCUUCGUUUUAUAUAUUCUAGAGAGAACCAUGCGUGAAGUGCUAGAAAUAAGAGGAUGAAGUUGCAGGAUUCAAGGUGCAGUUUGGAGCUAAUUGUGCUCCAUGGCAGCAUCAUUUCUUGGCAGAGAAUGCAAUAACGGGACGAUCCUCUAGAGUCCAAGGUUAUUGGAAAUUGCGUGGAGAUCAAUGGACAUGAAAAUUUAGAUGAAACUUUGAAAGCUGACUGAGUGAUGAUUGAGAUUCCGGCUAGCUCAAUAACGGCACUUUUAUUGGAAUCCGCCAUGUUAUUAACAACAGUACUCUGGGAUAGAUUAGUACUAGUAGCUGUAGCUCUCAAGGGUUGCUCCUGAAAAAAAAGGUCAUAGUUUUGUUGGAGAAAAAUAAGAUGGUCUUCAAAUUCUUGCUGAUCACAAGGGAUAAAAGGAGAGGGCAAGCAGAGAGAUAAAGGAGGAGGGACAUCUUGUUUGGGAUAGGAAAUGAUAUCACUGAACAAGGGCAUGUUAUAAGCUUGUUGAUCACUACAGGAGAUGGCGUCGUUGGCAUUGUAGCUUAAUGGAAACAUUUGAGCUUUGCGAUAUCACCAAACAAUACCUAGCUAGCCGCCGUAGAGCUCCCUUGGGAGGAAUAGUCGCUUGAGAAUGACAUGUGCACCAAUGUGUUACCUAACAAUAUGCCUCCUUGUGCAUAGAGUAUUCUCCACUUCUCUAGCUAGUUCAAGUCCAUGUAUCCUUUUCAAGUUCACUUUCUCUGCAAACAAUGGAAAUCAUAAGUGAGAGACGACAACAAAUUGUUACUACUGUUUACUUGUCAUUUUUUUUUUCCUUCUUUUUUCUCCUUCCCUCCCUUUAUCAGAGAGCGAGUUUGCAUACGCGUAUGUGUUUGGUGAGUUUAAGAUGGAGAGAAACAGGGAAUAUCCAUCUUCCUCCCCGACUAGAGCACGAGAAAGACAGCACAGCACAAGUACUACAUGUCCAUGGGGGGUGCAAGAAUGGGAGAUAAGGGGGAA